CUUCGCCGGGCCGUUGGACUCGAAGCGCGGGCCCGCGGGAGGGACGAGCGAGCCCAGGAGAGCCCGGAAGAGGGGCAGGGCUCCCUGGACUCUAUAUUCUGUCUCAUAUUGUCGCUGUCUCCGCGUGGGUGAAAUCAGAGACGCGAUUUCCAAGGCCUCCCCUGGCCUCGAGAGAUGCCUGGGCACAGAGCCCGUCCCGCUCCCGCCACCCGGUCUACCCCCUCCACUCCUCCUCCCGCCCCAGCAGACAUCACCAUCCUCACCCGGGCUUGGGCCUCCCUUCGAUUCCGGCCUUUCCUUUAGGGCUCUCAGAGGCAACUCCCGUGAGCACAGGCCCCAAGAAGAACCAUGGGAAACCUGAACCAUUCCUUGCAGAUUCCUGCUUGAUCAAUGGGAAAGCUCAUGAACACUAGGAAAUCUCACCCUUAUACAUAAGCAGUUAAAGCCUCCACUUUCAGGAAAUAUACAGAACUCCUCCCCUCUUCUCCUCUGAAUAAGGUGUGGCAAAGGGACCUCGCCUCAGAAUCUCAACCUGGGUUCACAGAGGCAGAGGUGGCAGUUUCUCCAGAUCCAAGCUGCUGACCAAAAACACAAUCAGAUGCAGGGAUGAGGCACAGCAAGCUGUCAGAAUGAGCCCUGUCCCUGUCACACUGGAGCUCUGGGAGUGUUCCACUUGACAUGUCAUCUAUCUCCUUCUCCUGUCGCUACCUUGCAUAAUCCUGAUGGGGCUGUGUGUGUGCAGAUAUCGUGCCACAUGCUACAGAAGGAAUUGCUGGCAGUUGACUCACACUUCCUGGAUUUAGCAAUGGAUGGAUCAGCCCACCAUAGAGGGGGCUGCCACCAGGUGUACUAUACAUAGGUCCUCCAGGUUGGCCACCUCAGCAUUCAUCUUCCUCCUUCUACACCUCCCAGGAUUAGCAGCUUCUCCCAAGUCAUGGCCUUGUAUCUCCCAUGUCUGGGCCUCAUCCUGCUGGGGGCCAUGCAGACAAAAGCCCAGGGCUUUUUUCCAACCAUGAUGAAGACCCCACAUCUGAACAAGGUGCCCUUGCAGCCAGACUUCCAGGAUGACAAGUUCCAGGGGAAGUGGUACGCCUUGGGUGUGGCAGACAGCCCAAUUCGGAAUGGAAGCAGAAGUCAGUUAACAAUGUACAGUGUCAACUACGAGCUGAAAGAUGAGCACAGCUUCAACGUGAACACCACGAUGCUCAGGAAUGAAGUCUGCGAACAGUCUACGAGAACUCUUGUCCAAAAUGUGCAGCCCGGCCAGUUCACUUUCGACAGUUUCAGAAGGACAGGUGGAAUACUGAGCUACGUCAUGAGGGUGGCAGCCACCAACUACAAACAGUUCGCCAUGGUCUAUGUGGAGAAGAACGUAAGAUUCAAGUGGCACUUCCAGGCCACCCUCUAUGGGAGAACCAAGAAGCUGAGCCACAAACUGAAGGAGCGCUUCGUGAAAUUUUCCAAGUCUGUGGACUUCACUGAGGACAACAUCGCCUUCUUUGUUCCCAUCGGUCUUCCUCAUUUCGAACAAGGAAUUUCUCCUUCAUUUCUGGCUGGGGAAGACAUUCCAGCCAGGCCACUCAGGGGCAGUGGCUGAGUGGCUGCGCGACUGUGUAGUUAAACAGAAGAAUGCAUUGAUGACUGAAUGGGCAGUGCCUCCUGUGUCUCCUCCUGUUCUUCCUGUCAUCAUUGCCCAAGGUACU